CCUACGGGGGGCUGCAGUGGGGAAUAUUGCACAAUGGGCGCAAGCCUGAUGCAGCCAUGCCGCGUGUGUGAAGAAGGCCUUCGGGUUGUAAAGCACUUUCAGCGGGGAGGAAGGCGUUAAGGUUAAUAACCUUGGCGAUUGACGUUACCCGCAGAAGAAGCACCGGCUAACUCCGUGCCAGCAGCCGCGGUAGUACGGAGGGUGCAAGCGUUAAUCGGAAUUACUGGGCGUAAAGCGCACGCAGGCGGUCUGUCAAGUCGGAUGUGAAAUCCCCGGGCUCAACCUGGGAACUGCAUUCGAAACUGGCAGGCUAGAGUCUUGUAGAGGGGGGUAGAAUUCCAGGUGUAGCGGUGAAAUGCGUAGAGAUCUGGAGGAAUACCGGUGGCGAAGGCGGCCCCCUGGACAAAGACUGACGCUCAGGUGCGAAAGCGUGGGGAGCAAACAGGAUUAGAUACCCGUGUAGUC
rnacentral:rRNA from 1 species